rnacentral:rRNA from 1 species
GCGGUCUACNGCCGUCCGAGUUGUAAUCUAGAGAGGUGUUUUCCGUGCCGGACCGUGUACAAGUCCCUUGGAACAGGGCGUCAUAGAGGGUGAGAAUCCCGUCCAUGACACGGACUACCGGUGCUCUGUGAUACACCUUCGAAGAGUCGAGUUGUUUGGGAAUGCAGCUCAAAAUGGGUGGUAAAUUCCAUCUAAAGCUAAAUACAGGCGAGAGACCGAUAGCGAACAAGUACCGUGAGGGAAAGAUGAAAAGAACUUUGGAAAGAGAGUUAAACAGUACGUGAAAUUGUUGAAAGGGAAACGCUUGAAGUCAGUCGCGUCUGUCAGGACUCAGCCUUGCUUCUGCAUGGUGCAUUUCCUGGUGGAUGGGCCAGCAUCGAUUUUGGUCGCCGGAAAAGGGCGGGAGGAAUGUGGCAGCUUGCUGUGUUAUAGCCUCCUGUCGUACACGGUGGUUGGGAUCGAGGACUGCAGCACGCCUUUGGUCGGGGUUCGCCCACGCCACGUGCUUAGGAUGCUGGCGUAAUGGCUUUAAGCGACCCGUCUUGAAACACGGACCAAGGAGUCUAACAUGCCUGCGAGUGUUUGGGCGUUAAACCCAGGCGCGUAAUGAAAGUGAAAAGUUGGGACUCUUUAGUGAGGCACCGACGCCCGAUCCUGACGUUCUCUGACGGAUUUGAGGUAGAGCAUGUAUGUUGGGACCCGAAAGAUUUCACUAUGCCUGAAUAGGGUGAAGCCAGAGG